rnacentral:rRNA from 1 species
GUGAAUGCUAGCGGCGUGUCUAAGGCAUGCAAGUCGAACGAACCUAUUUGAAAGUUUACUUUCUGUGUAGGCGAGUGGCAGACGGGAGAGUAAGACAGUGGUAACCUACCCCAAAGACAGGGAUAACCACCGGAAACGGUGGCUAAUACCUGAUAGUCCACGCAGUACAUAUGUACAGUGUGGUAAAACUCCGGUGCUUUGGGAGGGACCUUUGAUCCAUCAGCUUGUUGGUAGGGUAAUGGCCUACCAAGGCGACGACGGAUAGCGGGUGUGAGAGCAUGACCCGCCUCAUUGGAACUGAAACACUGUCCAAACACCUACGGGUGGCUGCAGUCGAGAAUCUUCCUCAAUGCCCGCAAGGGUGAAGGAGCGACGCCGCGUGCCAGAUGAAGUCCUUCGGGAUGUAAAUGGCUUUUCUAUGGGAAAAAUUUGUGAUGGUACCGUAGGAAUAAGGGGCUGCUAACUUCGU